GACGAACGCUGGCGGCGUGCUUAACACAUGCAAGUCGAACGGAAAGGCCCUGCUUGCAGGGUACUCGAGUGGCGAACGGGUGAGUAACACGUGGGUGAUCUGCCCUGCACUUCGGGAUAAGCUUGGGAAACUGGGUCUAAUACCGGAUAGGAGCCAUCUUUAGUGUGGUGGUUGGAAAGUUUUUUCGGUGUAGGAUGAGCUCGCGGCCUAUCAGCUUGUUGGUGGGGUAAUGGCCUACCAAGGCGGCGACGGGUAGCCGGCCUGAGAGGGUGUACGGCCACAUUGGGACUGAGAUACGGCCCAGACUCCUACGGGAGGCAGCAAUGGGGAAUAUUGCACAAUGGGCGCAAGCCUGAUGCAGCGACGCCGCGUGGGGGAUGAAGGCCUUCGGGUUGUAAACUCCUUUCGCUAGGGACGAAGCUUUGUUGUGACGGUACCUAGAUAAGAAGCACCGGCUAACUACGUG
rnacentral:rRNA from 1 species